GAUGAACGCUGGCGGCGUGCCUAACACAUGCAAGUCGAGCGAAGCGCUUAAAUUAGAUUUCUUCGGAAUGACGAUUUUUGUGACUGAGCGGCGGACGGGUGAGUAACGCGUGGGUAACCUGCCUCAUACAGGGGGAUAACAGUUAGAAAUGACUGCUAAUACCGCAUAAGACCCCAGCUUCGCAUGAAGCGGUGGUAAAAACUCCGGUGGUAUGAGAUGGACCCGCGUCUGAUUAGCUAGUUGGUAAGGUAACGGCUUACCAAGGCGACGAUCAGUAGCCGAGCUGAGAGGGUGACCGGCCACAUUGGGACUGAGACACGGCCCAGACUCCUACGGGAGGCAGCAGUGGGGAAUAUUGCACAAUGGGGGAAACCCUGAUGCAGCGACGCCGCGUGAAGGAUGAAGUAUUUCGGUAUGUAAACUUCUAUCAGCAGGGAAGAAAGUGACGGUACCUGACUAAGAAGCCCCGGCUAACUACGUG
rnacentral:rRNA from 1 species